GCGGGUUUUACCUUAAACGAGUUUACACGUUUCUACGAACAACAUCGAGUGAAUUAUUAUUGUGAAGUUAAAAGCGGGGAAAUCAUGUCGGACAAGUGCAGUGUCUGCGGCGAUUGUGAGAGUGUGGACGGGUCGUUUACUGAUUAUAGCACCGACUGGUCAGGGUCUGAUGAUGACUCUUGGGAAACCAACAGUGACUGCUCCGAAUGCGCGCAUGAAGCGAGAAACGAUGAUUUAAAAAAUUACGAUGACUGCGACAGAUACGAUGAUGAUGAUUUAAGUGAUGGUUGUGACAAGAACAGCGAUGGUGGCAGAAGCUAUCGUGGAAAGAAAUACAACAGUCGUAGAAAAAGAAACAUAGAAGAUAACGUAAGCGAUGAUGAAAAUGGUUUUAAUGAUGAUGAAAAAGGUGAUUCUGAAAAAGAUUUCAAUAAAGAUGGGAAAAGCGGUGAGGAAAAUGAUGAAGGUGAUGAAUUGAGGGACAAAUAUAAAGGUUUUGACGGUUACCCGCCGGAGAUUCAACAGUUUAUCAAGGAGAAUAAGAAUAAUAAGGUAUCGAAGGAAAACCCCACUCUGGACGGUAAUACCCACAAACCUGCUGAUAAGAAAGAUCUUGAAGCCCUGCUAGAGACGUUUGGUGGCAUGAUGAAGAAUUAUGAUGGUGCAGGAAGUGAAGAAGAAGAAAGCUUUGAGGGUGAUAAUGGGGAUGGCCAAUCGCUAGAGGGCCACAGCCGGGGCAAGCGCUCCAUCACCAAUCACGGUGGUAUCCACAAAACCCACCACCGACGACAUCAUGGUCACCAUCAUAGACACGGUGGUCAUGGUCACCAUCGCAGGCAUGGUCACCAUCGCAGGCCUGGUCACCAUAAGACGCACAGAAGACCACGUAGAAGCAUCUUAAGAAUGAGCAGGAUUAUCUGCCCGACUGGGAAGAGCUUCGUCUUUACGACGCCUGCAACGGACAGGACUGGUUGGAAAUGUGGUAACAACAGCAAGUUCAUUACUCUAUACAAACACGGGCGUAUGGGCCGCCGGGAGUACAACAUAGUGUCCAAAGAGUUUGACGAAUCCAAAACAGAUCACAACAUUGGGAAAUUCUCCAAAUACAAUAUUAUUAAGAUCCAGAAGGUAGUGAACCCUUGUUUUUGGAAGCGCUACUGUGACCAUCGGCGGUGGAUAAUCAUGGAUCGAAGGGCAAGGAACGAGGCUGGAGACGCCAACGAACGCCUCCUGUGGCACGGCUCCACGAAGGUCAUGGACCUGCUGAAGACCGGCUUUGAUGAGCGAUUCGCUAACCCUGGAGGCAUGUUCGGCGCUGGUUUAUACUUCGCAACCAACUCAUCAAAGAGCAACCAGUAUGUCUACCUUGGUGGCUGUCCAGCCCAUAAAAACGCCAACUGUCACCUGUGUGAGAGAAACAUACUCCUGUGUCGCGUGGCUCUGGGCAAAGUGAUGCAGUACACGACGGCGACCAAAUUGCCGCACGCGCCCAAAUACCACCACUCGGUAGAGGGCGUGGUCGGCGGCUCGCUCAAGUAUAGCGAGAACAUCGUCUAUAGAGGCGAACAGGUGAAAUAAAAAUUGACACUACAAUACAUAUAAAAUAAUAAAAUUGAACAUUUACUUACCUUUUUUAACAAUUUUCAGCUUAUUUUUCACUUUCCACACAGUGUCGGCCAUUUUUACUUGCGCGUGUGUGAGUGCAUUUUUUAGUCAUGGUUUCGAUAAUUUACGUUUUGGUCAAUAUUUAUGAAUUAUUCAUACAAAGCAAUUGAUAUUCAGAAUCUCCAUAAAAUUUCCUUUAAAAUAAUAUAAAAUAUGAGGUAUAUAAACAAGGCGUAACUUAAGAAUAACUCAAGGAAAAACACGAAAAGUUAUUUGAGAUCUGUAGGUUACUUUUAAAUUGAUAUAAUUCGUAAAUGAAUCACUUUGAGAACUUGUAAUUUAUAAAAAUUGAGACUGCAUUAAAUAUAAAAUAAUAAAACUGAACAAUUACUUAUCUUUUUUUAACAAUUUUCAGCUUAUUUUUCACUUUUAGUAAUCACUUUUAGUAGUUGAAGUAUCACUGGUCGAGACGGAAUUUCAACCGAUUUUUCUAGCGGAACUAUUGAACAUUUCAUCCGAAUGAUGGUUGUCUAUGAUAGAUCAUUUAUUAAAUUUUCUUCAAAACACAACAUUAAACCUUUUGCGAUAGAAUUAGAAUGGAUAAUUACGUAAAAAUAGGUACCAGUCCUAUGGGUCAGGAUCC